CCAAUAGCGUAUAUUAAAGUUGUUGCAGUUAAAAAGCUCGUAGUUGAACUUCGGGAUCAAUUGAUUGGUCAUGCCAUUGGUAUGUACUGGUCAUAUUGGUUCUCACCUUCUAAGGAACCAUAAUGUCAUUAAUUUGAUGUUUUGGGGAAUUAGGACUGUUACCUUGAAAAAAUUAGAGUGUUUAAAGCAGGCUAACGCUUGAAUACAUUAGCAUGGAAUAAUGAAAUAGGACAUCGCAUUCUAUUUUGUUGGUUUCUAGGAUCGAUGUAAUGAUUAAUAGGGAUAGUUGGGGGCAUUAGUAUUCAAUUGUCAGAGGUGAAAUUCUUGGAUUUAUUGAAGACUAACUACUGCGAAAGCAUUUGCCAAGGAUGUUUUCAUUAAUCAAGAACGAAAGUUAGGGGAUCGAAGACGAUCAGAUACCGUCGUAGUCUUAACCAUAAACUAUGCCGACUAGGGAUCGGAUGAUGUUGAUUUUUUAAUGACUCAUUCGGCACCUUACG
rnacentral:rRNA from 1 species